CCAAAACCAAGAGUGUGCUGCUUAACUGACUGAACCACCCCGGCACCCCAUAACUAUAAGAGAAAUUACCAUCAGCUAGAAGAAGCAAGGAAGGUUUCCCUUGGAGACUUCAAAGAGGAUAUGGCCCUGCCACACCUUGAGUUUGACCUCCAGAAAUAGAACUGCCUAGGACCUCCAACACAGUGUUCAGUAGAUGGUACUAAAUUGUGCAUUCUUGCCUUGUUCUUGAUCUCCGGGGGAAGUCAUUCAAACUUACACCCUUUUUUUUCAAUCUUACACUGUUAAGCAUGAUGCAACAUUAAACCUUUUUGAUCGUUAAACCUUAUGUUCCUGGUAUAAGCCCCACUUGGUCAUAAUGCGUUAUCCAUUUUAUAUAUUAUUGAAUUUAAUUUGCUAAUAUUUUGUUAAUAAUUUUACAUCAUGUUCAUGAGGAUUGCUGGUCUGUAGUUUUCUUGUGAUAUUCUUGAUGGUUUUGGCAUCAAGGUGAUGCUGACUUCAUAGAAUGUGUUGGAAAACAUUACUCUUCCUUUGCUUUAUGGA